rnacentral:piRNA from 1 species
UAAGCCGCGCCAGAUGCCACGCCACAGC